CAGAGCUCGUGCCCACCCGGGUAGAUCUCCCACCCACUGUUAUCGCUACGAUCGUUGCUUUGGCGGGCCGCCGGGCCCUGCCCGCCGCCGGCCCCGGCUGGCGCGCGCCCGCCAGAGGCCCCAUAAACUCUGAAUGUUAGCGUCGUCUGAGUACUAUACAAUAGUUA
rnacentral:misc_RNA from 1 species